rnacentral:rRNA from 1 species
GAUGAACGCUGGCGGUGUGCCUAACACAUGCAAGUCGAGCGGAAGGACGGGAAGCGCGUGCCCUUGCUGUUAGCGGCGGACGGGUGAGUAACACGUGGAUCACCUACCAAUAAGACGGGGAUAAUUACGGAAAACCGGUGACAAUACCAGAUAAUACUAUGUACCGCAGGGUUCAAAAGAUAAAGACAGCCUUGCCGAUUGAAAGAGACGGUGCCGUGUUGCAUUAGCUAGUUGGUAAGGUAACGGCUCACCAAGGCAACGAUGCGUAGCCGAUCUGAGAGGAUGAUCAGCCACACUGGAACUGAGACACGGUCCAGACUCCUACGGGAGGCAGCAGUAGGGAAUCUUGCACAAUGGGCGCAAGCCUGACGCAGCCACGCCGCGUGGGUGAUGAAGGUCUUCGGGUCGUAAAGCUCUUUUGUUGGGAAAGAACAGCUGUAUGAUAAUCUGUGGCCAUCUUGACGGUACCUAAUGAGUAAGCCCCGGCUAACUACGUG